AACAAAAGCAAAGCAAAAGCAAUGAGACCAGUUAGGAGAUCGCGCAGCAACACAAUAGGGACAGGGUCAUGUUCAGAAUCACCUCAAAGAAGUCUUGCUGAAGGUAGGAUAUAAACUGAAGGUGAAUGACAUAUCCUGAAGAGUCUCACAAAUACAGCCGCAUUUGGAGAGAAAUGAAGGGCUGAGGGAAAUCAUGUGGAAAUCACCAUUCAUUCCGGCCAGCAUC